CUCCGGGUCCGCCCGCGCCCUGAAGCCGGCGGCCAGGGGACCCGCUGCCAAGGAGGGGGCGGCGGCGGGGCCGGGAACGCGCGGCCCGGCCUGGCUGAGGAACCAGCAGGCCCCCACAGGCCCUCGUACAGUGCCUCCAGGGACUUAAACCUGCCGCAGCCAUGUGGUUACCCUGAUCUAUCUGCUGGGAGAGGAGCAAAGCUCGGAGAGGGACCAGAUCUCAGCAGAGACGAAACCAGCAGCAGUUCCUGAACACCCACCCUGCCGUGGUUCCAGAAGUGCAACAUGGACCAACCUGUGAGCAUUUGCUCUUCCUCAGGGGCACUUUCCCUUUUCAAAGAAGAGUUCAGCAGUUCUUCCACCCAGAAGACUAACUUCUGAGAAAUAAAACAGCUGGGAGACAGAAGGAAGUAGCUGUAAGGAGACUAAAUACGGA